rnacentral:rRNA from 1 species
UGGGGAAUAUUGCACAAUGGAGGGAACUCUGAUGCAGCGACGCCGCGUGAGUGAUGAAGGACUUCGUUUCGUAAAACUCUGUUCUAUGGGAAGAAAAGGACUGUACCAUAGGAGAAAGCUCCGGCUAAAUACGUGCCAGCAGCCGCGGUAAUACGUAUGGAGCGAGCGUUGUCCGGAAUUAUUGGGCGUAAAGGGUGCGCAGGCGGCUUUACAAGUUGGAUGUGAAAUAUUGUGGCUCAACCACAAACGUGCAUCCAAAACUGCAAAGCUUGAGUUAAGGAGAGGUAAGUGGAAUUCCUGGUGUAGCGGUGGAAUGCGUAGAUAUCAGGAGGAAUACCGGUGGCGAAGGCGACUUACUGGACAUAAACUGACGCUCAGGCACGAAAGCGUGGGGAGCAAACAGG